ensembl:lncRNA
UACGUUACACUGUAUAUCAGCUUAGAUAUACUAAUAAGCACAUUAGUAUCUUCUGAUUUUAAAUCUGUUUUUUCUUUUCCCAUUUUAGUGAUGAAAUCAGUGCUCUCUCAGAACCUUUAAACACAGAGCUCUAAUAAGGAAAGCCAAGCAAUAAAAUAUUCAGUAGAACUUUAUCUUGGAAGAAAUGAUUAAAAUGGAAUGUUGGCCAAUGCCCACCCUUUUUUAAUAAUUUCUCUUAUUCUAAGCACCAUUUUUACACAUUUGAGGUUAAUAAGCUCCACAUUAUAACUGGCAAGUAGGGUGCUUUAACUUUGGCAGAAUAAUGUUUUUUGUUUUUUUUUUUUUGCCUGAGAAAUUUUCUGAGAGAUAAAUGAUAUUACCAGGUGGGAAGGUGAGAGCAAAACAAGACCCAAAAUGCAAAAAAAGAUAGCUGCUUUCAGAGCUGAAAAAGAAAGCACACAUCCCUUUCCUGAAGCUGACUCAUUUUCCUGUUCUCUCCCAGAAACAGGAAGACUUUUUCAAGACUUUACUACUUUGUAGUUCUGGAAAUCACUUGGAUCUGUGCAAUUUUCCUCCAGGCUCUUAUCCACAUUAUAUAUAUUUUAUAAAGAGUGAUGUGUGUAAUGCCAUCAGCCACAACGUCAUAGUCUUUCACAGGACAAAAGAAGACUAAAAAUGGAAAGAAAGAGAAGGGACAAGCCAGCCUAUCUAGAAAAUAUAGCCGCCAAGGAAAGCUGUGCCAGGGAAGAGGAACACACUGUUACCAAAGUCCAGUUCACAAUGGGUUCAUUCCUUCUGCCAUUUACACAAAGCCACAGCUGAUCAGACUGAAACAUUCCUCUUGCUGGCUCCUAUUCUUCCUUCAUUUUAUUAAUAACCUGGCAACAGGAUAGGGGCUAAGAAAAGAGACCUUCUAGAAUGGAGAAUUUACUGAAGAAACCAGAAGUGAAAGGUAGGUAUGGGAGUUUGAAGUCACAUUUAUUAGGUGACAUAGUUCCUUUAGAGAACGAGAAAAGGACUUUAGGCAUGAGCACAACCCAUCAGGAAAAUCCAUGGUGACCUGGGCAAAUUCAUGCAGCACGGAUGUUGUAGAACAGUUUUAUGGAAGUGUGACAUCUUAAAGUCAAAAUAUAUUUUUCUCUGAUUAUUUUUUGUAUUGAUGUGGGUUCUGUUUUGUUUUGCUUUUGUUUGUUUGACAUUGUUGCUGAUUUUUAAGUACCUGUCCUACAUGAUGAGAUCUUGCAGCUCAAUUAAAAAGGAAAUAAUUAUUUAAAGCAUUCUGUGGAAUGUGGAACAGGCCCUGGAAGCUCUAAUAGGCCUUCAUGGCCUUGAUCAGUCCCACCUUAGGACACUCCUAAACAGGGGACCAGAGCACAUUUAAGUACAGUUCUGCACCUUUAGUCUCUGCCAGAGCUCUGCUGUAGUAUGUAUUUGCUCUGCUUUCUCUCUAGUUCACGUGCACUGGUUGUGGUCACUAAAGAAGAAUGUGUUGCUAUUGUUAUACAUUCUAAUAUCAUUACUGAAAGAUGUUUCAUUGACAUAAGUCCUUCUUACUUAAAGAACUUUUAGUACAGUUAAAUAAAAUACACAAGACAUGUAGGAUGAUUCAAAACAACAGAAUGGAUAAGAUAGCACAAAGUGUUCUGUUUCCCUUUGAAUUAUAGAAAUGCAAGUUGGAGAAGGGAAAAUUACUAAAACUUAAUUAUCAGGACAACAAAAUUUGCAGCUAAAUUUAACUGGUAGUUCUUUUAAAUACAAGUCUUGUCCAUGGGAAACCUGCAGACAUCUAGUUAAAAUUUGCUUAGUGCAAAUUUUUCCAGUUCCCACACUAAAACAGGGGGAACUGUUAAGAUUUUAACACUUCCAGUGAAGUGGCUACAAUGUUUGCCUAAAUGUUCUCCAGAAGUGGGUGAAUACACCCUUGGCCAGCUGCUUCAGAAACCGAAUCUGCUCCAAAAGGGAAAAAAAAUAAGGCUAUAGCACUUCUAGGGUGAAGUCCCUCUUGAAUUAAUCUACUGAAUAUUACAGAUAGCUGUAGUAUGAGUCACUCUAAACCUAAAGGGUCUGAUCCAGGAUAGAGUUUUAAAAUUGCUUUCUGAGAAGAGUCAGCUGGCAGUCACUUUUCAUUUUCUUUUUUGCUUAAAACAAGCAGCAGGGGGGUGCUUCUGGUUGUUCUGCUUCUGGACAGUGCUGAAGAAAUUAUCAGGUAGAUGACAGCUGUGUAGGUCUUCUGUUGAUUUUAUUUUGUGCAGGCAUGUGAGGGUAAAUAUGGUAAAAUAAUGGUAAAAAUAUUUCAAAUGCAGUCAAACCACUCCUGCAGCUUCAGGUUUUCCUAAUAAUGUGAGAAGACUUGUAUUUUCAUACAAAUAAAUGUAUUUAAAAUAAAAAUUGCAAGCAAUACAUCACUAAUAAGAGAAAAUAAGAUAUUUUAUCUCACAAUAGUUAGUAAAGUAGGCUAAUUCAUUUUGCUCCAAAUGAGUUUUUUUCUCAUGUUUUCCCAGCCAGACUACUCCUCCCACUAAAUUAAGUAUUUAUGUUAGCUGCUAAUGUAGCACCACUAGGCAGUCAAAUGUUCAUUUAAAGUUAUACCCACCCUCUCUUUCAGACACAUAUCAUAGAUUGAAGUAUGGUAUGAUUAAAUACUAAGUUUUAUUUCCUGGUCUGACAACUAUGCACACCAUUGCUGUGCUUGAUUUUAAGUCAUUACUGUCAGAGAUCAUUCUUAACAGAGAACUAAGUUUACCUGAAAGUUCUCUGUAAAGCACAACAGGUUAUUUAAGAUUGACUGCUGAAAUGCACUAGAUUAUGUUUGAUGUUGUAUGGGAACUGUUGAAUCACGGCCUGAACGUCUGAUUGACCACCUGAGGCAAAUGCUGAGUCAGCUGCAGGGGCACAGGUGAACGCAAUUUCACCUGAGUGACCGGAAGGGGUGGAGCCUGGCUCCAUCCCUCCUAGACCCCAUUUAAGUGCUGACUCCCAAGAAGGAAGGAUCUCUAUCUGGAGAUCCCUCCUCUUGGAGCCCUUCUGCAAGCCCAGGACACAGGUAAGAUCUUUAUUUCAUUUCUCCUUUGUAAUGCGAUAAUCUCUCUGGUCCAAUGCCUGUAUACCUUGUUGCCAUACAGAUGUCAUAUAAACCAUUUAAAUCCUAAUCUAGAUAAAUCUAUAAGAAUAUAUAUACAAAUAUUAUAAAUCAAAGGAAAUGAUCAUCUUUUAUUUUUCCUGUUAAUGUGACUGUUUGAGAGGCUAAGAGCUAUAAGCAUCAGCUAAAGAACAUGUCAAAGUCAAAGCUGUUAAAUUGAGAAAAUAACAGAGCAGAAAGCAAACUAUUUUGCAGUACAGGAAGUUACCAAGUCACAGGGCUUCCCACAAACUAUCAGAAGCAUAAUUGCAGAGGAAGCAGGUGUUAGGUGAUGAGAGAUGUUGCAAGGUCUCUCAUUUCAAAGGAAUCAUAAGGCAGAAAUCAGGCUGGAGCUCUGGAAAGUGUGAUGUAUGGGAACUGUUGGAUCACAGCCUGAACCUCUGAUUGACCACCUGAGGCAAGCACUGAGUCAGCCACGGGAGCAUAGGUGAAGGCAAUUCACCUGUGUGACCGGAAGGGGUGGAGCUUGGCUGCACCUCUCCUAGACCCCAUUUAAGGGCUGACUGCCACUGAGGAAGGAUCUCUUCCUGGAGAUGGCUCCUCGUGGAGUUUUUGUGGGCCUACAAUACUGGUGAGUACCUUUCUGGUUAUCUUUCCUAAUGCAGUAAUAUUACUAGCCUAAGUUCUCUGUAUACUGUAUAACAUGUGUAUGCCUAUUAACCAUAUAUGUGAGAUACCAGACAAAGAGGUAUGAAACUGUAAGUACCCUAUUAUUUGAUUUCUCAUAUGUUCAGGAGGGCACAAUUUUGUGCAUUCUAGUGAAGUACCACUAAGACUGCACCUAGCAACCAUAGAUUGUAUUAACAAUUCUUCUCCUUACAUAACAACUAAAAAAUGCUGAGGCUUACUCUAAUUAUUUCAAGAAAAAUAAGUGUUUGUAUUUUGGGAAGCUUCAGUAAGACAGCUAUAAAAUCAAGGCCCCCUUACUGUUUUGUUUGAAGUUUAUUACUCAAUGAUCUCUUGAGGUCCUUUCCAAACCCUGCGAUUCUGUGAAAUGUUGUAGUUAAACGUUGCCUUUCAGUUUCUUUUUAGCACCAUAGCUGAUAUUAGUUGAAACAGGCAGAGAGGAUUCAGAGUUGAUAAUGUAUUUUAAAACUCAUCUUGUUAUCAGAUGGAAUAUUUGUAAGCUUCUGAACGAACAGAAUAUUUUUUUCAGUAACUAAAAGAGACUAUAGUGAAAUCAGAUGCAAAGAAAUAGUGACCAUUUUCUCAGCAUUGGAAUGUAAUCUUAUAUGAACUGAGACUUUAGCAACACAUACUCAUUUGAAAGAAAAGAUAGUACGAAGCGCAACAGCGAGUAUAUCUUAAAAGCUCUGUGUGCAGAGUCUUUUUUUUUUUAGAAUGUCAGAGAAAUGAUUGCUCUGGCAACAGCUGAGAAAAAUAUAUUUUAAAACUAUCAUUAGUUAGAAAAACAAACUUUUUUCAUUUUUAGUCACCUAAUUCAGUAGACUAUGACUAACAAUUGUAGCCUGUAGAUUCCAAAAGAGCUGGCACACGUUUGAACCCCAAAUCAUAUUUCAUACUCAAGGAAUUGAUGCUUUCUCCUUCUUGGAGAAUAUGUGUAUCACUUAAUCUUCCUGAGAACAGAACAAAAUUAAAGACAAAUAUAAACAGUAUUGGCAAUCACUGGCAGUUUCCAAGUGCAGGACAAUUGUUUGAGGAGGUUGCAAUAGGUUAUUUAUGCAGUUCUUUAAUAUAUCUGAUUCCUUCAUGUUAGAGAAGGGGCUUGUUUGUUUCUUUAUGUUCCCUAUCUGUAACAUGUUAUUCACAGUCACUAUUCAUGCCUUAGAAGUCCUUUGGUUUCUAAUAGGAGGACUAGUUUUGUUUAGUUUUGUUUCUUGAAAUAAGUGAAUGGUAAUACUCUUGAUGUGCUAGAACUACUAAUUUGAAGUACAGGCUGACUACUGCUGUUUCUUGUAGGCUGCUUCUUCUAAAAAUAGGCUGUUGGGAUGAAUUUUGACUUGCUCAAAUUAGUGUUCUAUGCUUACAAAUUAUGUGAAGAGAAAGCAUAUCAAAAGUUUGAUUGCAUAGAGUUGAAAACAGACAAAAGACCACCUUGCCAAGAAGACAUGAGGUGCAAGGGAAUGUAUGUUUUCUGUAAUUUCCUGCUUUGUGUAAUUUUCGUGAAAACUGAAAUGGCAACUUUUGUGCAGUGAGAUGUACAGGAAUUAUUCUAUUUUUUACUAGAAUUAUGUAUUUUUAAUAAAAUGAUUAGACUACUAGUCACUAGAAAGUAGUUAUCAUUCCAAAAGUAAGAGAAUAGAUGAGAGUGCUUGCCUGUGGUAGAUUUUAACAUUUGGGUAUUGCAGGAAGAGACUAGUAAUUAUUUUUAUUUUUUAAUGAAAUUUCCAUGUAAAUUUCCCGAGACUUAUUUAACAGGAAAUUUUUAAGGCAUGGAGCUGCCUGAUAUGAGAAUGACAGUUGAAAACCUGUCACCAGAACAGAGUAUGAUUUUUGCACUGACCAUGUGUAGCAAAAAAAAAAAAAUUGACAUUAUUUCUAUAAAUAAACAUGACAGACAUUAAGGGUGAGGAAUGUUAUCAGGGUUCUGUUUCAUCUUGCCUCCUAGUAAGUAAGUAAACUGUCUUCCCAGAAGAGUAAUGAAACUCAGAUCAGUGUUCUCUGAUCACCUUUCCUGAAUCACUUGAUCAUUCUCUUGGAUGGAAAGGAAAGUUUGGAAUCAUAACCUGCUCUACUAUUAGAGCCUGAUUGAAGUUCCUGUCCUUUAUCGUUGUUACAUGUGUCUCAGCCUUCAGACCAACUCCAUUCUCUGCAAAAAGCUUUGUUGAUUGUUUUGAAGAGAACACUGACACCUAAAUCCCACCUUCAAAGUGUAAAAACCAAAAUAUGCUCCAAGGACUAGAACUUGAACAGACUCUUUUUCCAUGUCACUGUUUGCUUAUUUUUCUUCAGUGUUUUCUUAUUUUUCUGAAGUUUUCUGUGAACAUUUUUUUCAAUCUCACUUCACAAUCAUGAAAAAAGCUUCAAUCUGAAAUAUUCUCUUGUUUUUUUAAUAGCAUGUUA